CAGAGGUCCCGAGCGUUGUUCGGAUUCACUGGGCGUAAAGGGUGCGUAGGUGGCUGGGAAAGUUUGAUGUGAAAGCUCAGGGCUUAACCCUGAAAUGGCAUUGAAUACUACUUAGCUGGAGGUUUGGAGGGGGGACUGGAAUUCUUGGUGUAGCAGUGAAAUGCGUAGAUAUCAAGAGGAACACCAGUGGCGAAGGCGAGUCCCUGGACAACACCUGACACUGAGGCACGAAAGCUAGGGGAGCAAACAGGAUUAGAUACCCUGGUAGUCCUAGCCCUAAACGGUGCACGCUUGCUGUAAGAGGAAUCGACCCCUCUUGUGGCGAAGCUAACGCGAUAAGCGUGCCGCCUGGGGAGUACGGUCGCAAGAUUA
rnacentral:rRNA from 1 species